UGAGGCCGACGCGGCAGGCACGGAGGCUGGCCGCGCCCAGGCCGCCCCUGCCCAGGAAAAGCCCUGCGGGGAUGAGCCGCCGGCAGGAGCUUGCCCGGCGCCUGCCCAGCCCCUGGCCCGCAGCGUUCCUGCCUGCCCCGCUGGCAGCGCAGCCGUCCCGCAGCCCCCGGCCCCACGGCGAUGGCGCUUCACGGCCAAGAGGGCCCGGCGGGCUCUGCGCCGCCUUUUCUCCUGCAGCUGCCUCAGGGGGCAGCCGGAGGAAUGAGCCCGGGACCAGCACCAGGGCGUUCAGCAAAGAUGCCGGCUCGCCCUGAGGAUGCCCAGCUCCCAGGGGCAGCGGCAGGUCCCUGAGGCAACGACACCAGGGAGGUGAAAAGACUGGAUGCACCGAUGGGUGAAUGAUGCUCAAGGCAAACACUUGCCAAAGAUAGGAAAAUGCCUCCCUGGAUACCAACAACAACACAGCCUGGAGAAAGGUGUUAACACUGGAUGAGCGACCCGGGGUCCUCACGUCGAGAGGAACCACCGGGACCCCAGUGCAGAGAAGCAUAGAGUGAGGGAAGACCAACGGGACGCUGCUGGAGCCAAGCUUCUUGGCCUGUUCAAUCUCUUCCUCACCUCACCCCAGCCUUGCUCUUCCCCAUGCCUCACCCCCCUCAACUUUUCUCCAGCCCACCACAUCCCACCCCAGAUCUUGCCAUGACCAGCCCCUCUAUUUGCACCCCAACCACCCUGCAGUUCCCCCUCUUUCCUUCUCACCCUCCUCUUUCCUAUCCCUUUCUGUACCCCACAUUGGCAGUGAAAUAAAUCUCUGUUGUUGAUUUGGA